rnacentral:tRNA from 1 species
GAAAUAUGUAAAUUCAAGGAUAAGCUUCUAACUUAAUCUUUAAGCGAUGAAAUUCGUUUAUAUUUCU